rnacentral:rRNA from 1 species
CCUUAUGGCCAUACCACCCUGAGCACGCCCGAUCUCGUCUGAUCUCGGAAGCUAAGCAGGGUCGGGCCUGGUUAGUACUUGGAUGGGAGACCGCCUGGGAAUACCAGGUGCUGUAAGCU